UGGGGAAUAUUGGACAAUGGGCGAAAGCCUGAUCCAGCCAUGCCGCGUGUGUGAAGAAGGUCUUCGGAUUGUAAAGCACUUUAAGUUGGGAGGAAGGGCAGUAAGCGAAUACCUUGCUGUUUUGACGUUACCGACAGAAUAAGCACCGGCUAACUCUGUGCCAGCAGCCGCGGUAAUACAGAGGGUGCAAGCGUUAAUCGGAAUUACUGGGCGUAAAGCGCGCGUAGGUGGUUCGUUAAGUUGAAUGUGAAAGCCCCGGGCUCAACCUGGGAACUGCAUCCAAAACUGGCGAGCUAGAGUAGGGCAGAGGGUGGUGGAAUUUCAUGUUUAGCGGUGAAAUGCGUAGAUAUAGGAAGGAACACCAGUGGCGAAGGCGACCACCUGGGCUCAUACUGACACUGAGGUGCGAAAGCGUGGGGAGCAAACAGG
rnacentral:rRNA from 1 species